rnacentral:rRNA from 1 species
UACGUAGGUGGCAAGCGUUGUCCGGAAUUAUUGGGCGUAAAGAGCGCGUAGGCGGUCCGGUAAGUCGGCUGUGAAAGUCAAGGGCUCAACCCUUGAAAGCCGGCCGAUACUGUCGGACUAGAGUCCGGAAGAGGCGAGUGGAAUUCCCGGUGUAGCGGUGAAAUGCGCAGAGAUGUGGAGGAACACCGAUGGCGAAGGCAGCCUUCUGGGCCAACACUGACGCUCAUGCACGAAAGCGUGGGGAGCAAACAGG